GAGAUAUUAGUUGGCUUGAAUAAUCUAUCUUUUUCAUUGAUGUAAACAAUAUUUAUAGACAAAUGAUUCUACUGACUUGGCAAAAUAAUUGCCUACUUACAGGGAAUUAAAUGAAUGACUAGCACAUGCUGCCGAAUUACUUAGAAUUAAAUAACAGACCGAAAUUUAAGACACGACUCAACAACUCCACAAGAUAAUCUAUAGACCAGCAACUUUUGGUAUUUGCAAUUGACUAAUUAAACUAAAGAAAUAAGAAUUUAAUACAGUGGACCUAUGGGCCUAAUAACCAUGAGAGCAUCAUGUUUCACUCAUCGGUGCCCCAGCAUAGUAGUCCAAAUUACGGGGCCUGACUCGUAACAAUCCCCUCCCCUUUUGUGACCUUGUCCAUAAGGUCUGGAAAUUCCUUCUUCAAUUUGUAGUAAUUUUUCCACAAAGCAUCUUCAGGAGCGAGACCUCUCCAUUGAACCAGUACCUCGACGCCAGCCUUUUAUUUUGUUUCACCACUCGGUGUUGAAGAAGCUUCUUUGGCUCAGGUCGAAGUGAUCCAUCCGCAGCAGUUGGUGGCAACUUGGUGGAGAGGAGGUUGCGGCGACCCAACUUUGGCUUCAAGCUGGAGACAUGGAAGGUGGGAUGAACCCUAGAGUCACCUGGAAGCUCCAAUCGGUGUGCUUGCUGUUUUUCAUGUGUCUCUUGAACCUGCUUUAAAGUGGCUAAUGAGUCGGCUAACUGGGAAUAACGAGUACUGACAUUACCCUCAGUCAUGGAUGCACCGGCUCUUGAUACCAAUGUUAGGAUAGAAAAUAAGAUAUUAAUGGAAUGGAUAGGAAUUGAUCUGUUCGAGAAGAUCACUCUCUAGAGAUAUUAGUUGGCUUGAAUAAUUUGUCUUUUUCAUUUAUGCAAACAAUAUUUAUAGACAAA